AAAUUGAAGAGUUUGAUCAUGGCUCAGAUUGAACGCUGGCGGCAGGCCUAACACAUGCAAGUCGAACGGUAACAGGAAGAAGCUUGCUUCUUUGCUGACGAGUGGCGGACGGGUGAGUAAUGUCUGGGAAACUGCCUGAUGGAGGGGGAUAACUACUGGAAACGGUAGCUAAUACCGCAUAACGUCGCAAGACCAAAGAGGGGGACCUUCGGGCCUCUUGCCAUCGGAUGUGCCCAGAUGGGAUUAGCUAGUAGGUGGGGU
rnacentral:rRNA from 1 species